CAGUAACAUUGUCUGGCUGAAGGGCUGCUGUGAAUGACCUGGAGGAACACCUUAAUUUUACUUCCCUCUGAUCCUCUUCUUUGGCACAGCCAUAGGCAGAGGGAGAAAAAAAAAAAUGCGGGGGGCUGAGAGCAUGUGCACAACUCUCCCAGCAGGUACACUUGGGGUCACACCCAGAAGAAGGAAGCGGUCUGGGAGCAGCUCAAGCAGGAAGUGCUAGAGUUGGAGAGAUGUCUCACCUCCAACCCAAACAACUCAUUCCUGUAUGGAGAAUGUCAUUAGAAGUGGGAAGAGUCCUAUGCUGUGGAUGAACACCGUGUCCAUGGAGUGUUUGUCCACUCGUGCCCAGCUCCUUUCUGAGAUGGACCACGGCUCCCGCUUCUUCUAUGCCCUGGAGAGGAGGCGGGGGGCCAAGAAGUACAUCGCCUGCCUUCUGGUGGAUGAUGGCACCCUCUCAUGGAUCCAAAUGAUAUGUGCCACCGCACAUGGGCCUUCUACAAAGAACUCUUCUCUGGAUCUGACUGAUGCCAAAUCCUGUCAGACCCUGUGGGAAGGACUUCCGCAGGUCAGCGUGGGUGACUGGAACCGGCUGGAGGCUCCUUUCACUCUUGGCUGAGUUUUCAGCUGCCCUCUGCCUGAUGCCUGGCAACUAGGCUCUGGACAUUGCCAGGCUGACCAUGGAGUUCACUGGAGUUUUUCCUGGGGCCAGUGCAUCACCCAACCUUGUGGUCCUCCCCAGUCCACCACUUGAGUUGGCUGGAGGACAUCAAACCUGUCUGCUUUUGCACCAUCCAUCACCACCACUUCUACAUGCUCAUGCAUCACACAAUCCAUCAUGCCACCCUCAUGUCCUGCCCAGACACCGAGUGGUAGGACCUGCUCACUAAGGGUAUAGCUGGGGCACCUCAGUGGCUGAGCCUGUAUUCCACCCUCAUCCCACGAGCCACUGGGGACUUCAGCUGGUGGCUUCUUCAUUGAGCCAUUGUCAUGGGCAUGUAUGUGGCGAGCUUCACAGACACCCCAGUAUCCUGCCCAUUCUGCAGGCAGAGGGAGACCCUGGUGCACAUUACACUCAAGUGCGCCAGGCUGAAGCCCCUCCACCUCCACCUCUAGAACCUCGUCCUGAGGUUCUGGUUGAAUUUCACCACCUGUCUUUUUGUUUUUGGUCACCCCAUGGUCUUGCCAGGUCCCGGGACCUCCUGGUCAACCUCCUCCUGGACCUGGUCAAGUGGGCCCUGUACUUGACCAGAAAGGAGGCUCUGGAUGAGAAGGUGCCCAGAGACUGUGGGUCCACUUUCCUCUUGCUUGUCUGGGCACAUUUCUGGGCAGAGCACCAGUGGGUGGUGUCUGCCAGCUCCUUGGAUGCCUUUGAGGACCAGUCAGUGUGGCCCUGGGGGCUCUGCUCUAUGUCCCCCUCUGGAGAACUUAUUUUCACAUUUUGACCCUUUGACACCCAUGUCAGUCAUAUCCUGUUUUUGCUUUUGUUGUCCCAAGGAAUUAAUUGAAUCUUUCACCCUUUGGCCCCACGCAGGGGCUAUUAGUUAGCUUAGUGGGCCUUAAGGCCCAUGCUAAUAUAGAAGAUACAAAUAGACAGAAGCUUUUGAGGUCCAACCACUUGGUAUCUGGGACACUACCUCUUGCACCAGGUGGACUAACCUGGAGUGUCCCCUGCACCUUCUACCCACAUGCAACAAAAUCCACACCCUUGGACCUGCAGCCCCAUGGCUGUGCCCCUGUCAGACCCAGAUGUGGUGCUUCUGCUCUGGCAUCUGGGAAGCUAUUGCCUAGAAGAUGUGCUCCCUGCAAUGGCCCUCUUGGAACUGUCAAAUCAUGUCCUGUUGGCCCCAAAUGGCCAAUAGGUCAGCCACUUUGUUUGCCCUUCAGCUCGGUCCCCAGUAUUGGCCCAGGGCAGGCUCCUCUAGACAGGUCUCACCACUUUCCUCACCAGCUGGGAUCCUUGUGUUUGCUGUUUAAAAGUUGCAAAUUAUCUGAUAAAAACCUCAAAUUCUCUAAUUAAAAUACCCCAAAUUCAUGUUCUUCUGUGAUUAAAAUGAAACACCACUCUAUAUAUAGAAAUCAGUUGGGCAAUGUUUUAUUGAUAUAUUUACAAUUUUAAAGCAAUUUGGAAGCCUAUCAAUGCCUCCAUCAUCACAAUAAAAUAAAUUCUAAUUAUCUAUACUUUUGCAUUUGAUUCUAGCUUUUUUAUCAUAGAAAAAUCAGAGCUCUCCCUGUCCCUUCUCUCACCAGGAUGUAGGGACAGAUGCUGCUGGACCCUCACCAGCUUUGUGGCACUGAGCAGCAUUGAUAUGCUGGUGUCCUACCACUGUCCAUGCCCUUGCCUACCACAGCCCUGCUAGUGCCCCUCAAUCCUAAACUGAAGCCCCUGCCUGCCCCCAACACACUCCCUCCAGGCAGCAGCUCCUUCCCAGCACCAAGACACAGAUCCACUGCAGCUGUCCCACUCACUGCUUUGUAGCUCUGAACACUGCCAGCCCUUGCUGUUCUGGUCCCUACCCCUGUGCCCAGGCCCUGUGGUUAUACACAUAGACUUUUUGCCUAUUGCUUUUAAUUUUAUGUAUUUUCUUGAGUUUUGCAUUGCCUUAAGAAACUCCAUUUUGUAUUGCUCUGUAGCUUGACAUAAGUGUUUGACCUUUGUACGCUGUAUGUGUGAGAGAAUGGGUGCAAGCGUGUCUGUCAAAAAGGAAAACAUGAGCUGGUGACUGGCUGAAGAAAGCAGACAGAUAAAUGACCAAAACAAAAAGAAUCCACUGCAGAACAGUGAGAGAACAAUGGCAAUUGACCUUCAAGGAAGAACACAGUGAUCAACUUGGCUGGCCACUAAGUUGAUCCAAGUACUGAUAAGACUGGUAAUGUAUACCAGCUCAGAACAGAAAUUGGGGUAUGAAUGUGGUAUGUGUG